rnacentral:rRNA from 1 species
AGAGUUUGAUCAUGGCUCAGAACGUACGCUGGCGGCACGCCUAACACAUGCAAGUCGAACGAAGUAGCAAUACUUAGUGGCAGACGGGUGAGUAACAUGUAGGUAUCUGCCCUUUGGCCUGGAAUAACACGAGGAAACUUGUGCUAAUACCGGAUAAGUCUUUACAGAGAAAGCUUUAUGCACCAUUGGAUGAGCCUGCACUUGAUUAGUUUGUUGGUGGGGUAAUGGCCUACCAAGACUGUGAUCAAUAGCUGAUUUGAGAGGAUGAUCAGCCACAUUGGGACUGAGACACGGCCCAAACUCCUACGGGAGGCAGCAGUGGGGAAUCUUGCACAAUGGAGGAAACUCUGAUGCAGCGAUGCCGCGUGAGUGAAGAAGGCCCUUGGGUUGUAAAGCUCUUUCGUCGGGGAAGAAAAUGACUGUACCCGAAUAAGAAGGUCCGGCUAACUUCGUGCCAGCAGCCGCGGUAAUACGAAGGGACCUAGCGUAGUUCGGAAUUACUGGGCUUAAAGAGUUCGUAGGUGGUUGAAAAAGUUAGUGGUGAAAUCCCAGAGCUUAACUCUGGAACUGCCAUUAAAACUUUUCAGCUAGAGUAUGAUAGAGGAAAGCAGAAUUUCUAGUGUAGAGGUGAAAUUCGUAGAUAUUAGAAAGAAUACCAAUUGCGAAGGCAGCUUUCUGGAUCAUUACUGACACUGAGGAACGAAAGCAUGGGUAGCGAAGAGGAUUAGAUACCCUCGUAGUCCAUGCCGUAAACGAUGUGUGUUAGACGUUGGAAAUUUAUUUUCAGUGUCGCAGCGAAAGCGAUAAACACACCGCCUGGGGAGUACGACCGCAAGGUUAAAACUCAAAUGAAUUGACGGGGACCCGCACAAGUAGUGGAGCAUGUGGUUUAAUUCGAAGAUACGCGCAGAACCUUACCAACACUUGACAUGUUCGUCGCAACUCUAAGAGAUUAGAGUUUUCGGUUCGGCCGGACGAAACACAGGUGCUGCAUGGCUGUCGUCAGCUCGUGUCGUGAGAUGUUGGGUUAAGUCCCGCAACGAGCGCAACCCUCACUUUUAGUUGCCAUCAUUAAGUUGGGCACUCUGAAAGAACUGCCAGUGAUAAGCUGGAGGAAGGUGGGGAUGACGUCAAGUCCUCAUGGCCCUUACGUGUUGGGCUACACACGUGCUACAAUGGUAUCUACAACAGGAAGCAAGACUGCGAAGUCAAGCAAAUCCUUAAAAGAUACCUCAGUUCGGAUUGCACUCUGCAACUCGAGUGCAUGAAGCUGGAAUUACUAGUAAUCGUGGAUCAGCGUGCCACGGUGAAUGCGUUCCCGGGUCUUGUACACACCGCCCGUCACACCAUGGGAGUUGGUUCUACCUUAAGGCAAGGUUUAAAACCCUUGACCACGGUAUAGUCAGCGACUGGGGUGAAGUCGUAACAAGGUAGCCGUAGGGGAACCUGCGGCUG